rnacentral:lncRNA from 1 species
GGACACUCCAAGCCCAGUGACCAUGCGGCCUGCAGUGUCCAUCGCUCUGAUCCUCGUGGCUCUGACGGUCCUGGCAGACUCUGCUCAGGCUCAAUCCACAGAGCCAACCCUGACCAAAAAGUUGGAGAACUUCCAGAACAAGUUGCAGGCCUUUGCUGACAGCAUUGCAGAUAAAACCAAAGCCGCCUUCCAAGAACUGCAUCACAGCGAGUUCAGCGAAAAGACCCGGAACUGGUUCUCUGAGCAAUUCCAGAAGAUGAAGGAGAAGUUCAAUGAGCAGUUUUCCAGGGACUGAUCUGACUGAGAGGGGAUUUUUUUCUGCAGAGCUCACAGGCAAUUCCUGGGGUACUGCUCCCCUUGAAGAGAUCAUGCUGGGAGGGGAACCCAGGGUUGGCACCCAAGUUCCUGUUUUCUAUUGCUUUUGUUGUAGCCAUGAAUAAAUACUGAUUGCCUUAGUGCUGGGUUGUAUCCAGGGGUUGCUUGGUCG